UACGUAGGUGGCAAGCGUUGUCCGGAUUUACUGGGCGUAAAGGAUGCGUAGGCGGACAUUUAAGUCAGAUGUGAAAUACCCGAGCUUAACUUGGGUGCUGCAUUUGAAACUGGGUGUCUAGAGUGCAGGAGAGGUAAGUGGAAUUCCUAGUGUAGCGGUGAAAUGCGUAGAGAUUAGGAAGAACACCAGUGGCGAAGGCGACUUACUGGACUGUAACUGACGCUGAGGCAUGAAAGUGUGGGGAGCGAACAGG
rnacentral:rRNA from 1 species